UACGUAGGGGGCUAGCGUUGUCCGGAUUCACUGGGUUUAAAGGGUGCGUAGGUGGGCUGGUAAGUCAGUGGUGAAAUCUCCAGGCUUAACUUGGAAACUGCCAUUGAUACUAUCAGUCUUGAAUACCGUGGAGGUCAGCGGAAUAUGUCAUGUAGCGGUGAAAUGCUUAGAUAUGACAUAGAACACCAAUUGCGAAGGCAGCUGGCUACACGAAUAUUGACACUGAUGCACGAAAGCGUGGGGAUCAAACAGG
rnacentral:rRNA from 1 species